rnacentral:misc_RNA from 1 species
AGGGAUCAUUACCGAGUUAUACAACUCAUCAACCCUGUGAACAUACCUAAAACGUUGCUUCGGCGGGAACAGACGGCCCCGUAACACGGGCCGCCCCCGCCAGAGGACCCCCUAACUCUGUUUCUAUUAUGUUUCUUCUGAGUAAAACAAGCAAAUAAAUUAAAACUUUCAACAACGGAUCUCUUGGCUCUGGCAUCGAUGAAGAACGCAGCGAAAUGCGAUAAGUAAUGUGAAUUGCAGAAUUCAGUGAAUCAUCGAAUCUUUGAACGCACAUUGCGCCCGCCAGUAUUCUGGCGGGCAUGCCUGUUCGAGCGUCAUUACAACCCUCAGGCCCCCGGGCCCGGCGUUGGGGAUCGGCGAGGCGCCCCCUGCGGGCACACGCCGUCCCCCAAAUACAGUGGCGGUCCCGCCGCAGCUUCCAUUGCGUAGUAGCUAACACCUCGCAACUGGAGAGCGGCGCGGCCACGCCGUAAAACACCCAACUUCUGAAUGUUGACCUCGAAUCAGGUAGGAAUACCCGCUGAACUUAAGC